rnacentral:lncRNA from 1 species
AAGAGUAACUGUGGCGCAGUGGAAAUGAAUUUGACUAGUAUCCAUGAGGAUGCAAGUUUGAUCCCUGGCUUCACUCAGUGGGUUGGGGAUCUGGUGCUGCUGUGAGCUAUGGUGUAGGUCGCAGAUGUGGCUUGGAUCCGUUGUUGCUGUGGCUGUGGUGUAGGCCAGCAUCUAUACCUCUGAUUCGACCCCUAGCUUGGGAACUUCCAUAUGCUGUGGGUAUAGCCCUGAAAAAAAAAAGUGAAAAAGAGAAGCAAAAAAUAUAUAUAUAUAUAUACAUACACACACACAGAGAGGUGGUGAGUCCUAUCCUGUUCCCAUUUAAAUUGCUUGUUUAGCUUGUGUAGACAUUUGGUGAGUGAAUGACUAGAUUCUUCGUCCUCUUUACCAGGUGGUGACUCCAAAUGCAGCUACUCUCCCAGAUACAGUAUCUUUACUGGAGCAACUUACUAUGGCUUUUGGUGCACAGUCAUUGACAUAGAUAUUGCCUUUUUCUCCAAACCAAUUUGUGAGGACCACCAAAACAAGCUUUCCUUUACCUGGAAAGGCUGGCAAUACACCUUCACAGUCUUGCUGCAGAGCUAAGUCAGAUCUCUUGUCUUCUUCCAUUACAUAGUCCACAGAUAAUGUGAUCAUCUUGACAUUCCAUGAAGCAUCACACUGGUGCAAUACACUGAUGACAAACUUAUUGCAUUUGAUGAAGAGGAGGCAGCAAGAACAAUAUAUAUGAAUGAGAGGGUGAGAAAUAAAUGCCACAACAUUUCAUAAGUCCAUUAUCUCAGUGAAAUUUCUGAGGGUUCAAUAGUUUGGAACAUGUUGAGAUAUCCUCCCCAAGGUGAAAAUCAAGUUGCUGCACUUUAUUCUACUUACUUCAAAAGAAGGUGCAGCCCUUGGCAGGAUUUUCUCUUUUGGAGGGAAAAUAUGUCACAUUUAUGUGUGUUUCUUUAACCCAUGGACCCAAAUCCCUGCAAGACAGUGAGUUUUGAGUGGGAACCAAAUAAAAAGAAGGUUCUGUGGCAAGCUGAGUCUUCAGUGCAUGUCCUUCUCCCACUUGGCCCCUAUAAUCCAGUAGGUCUAAUGAUUAUCAAAGAUUUUUUAUAGCAAAUAAAAAAGUAUAGUCUCAGGCAAGCCCCCAAAGGGGGAUCACAGUGCAGACUUCUGGGAUUUUAGAGUUAAUCUAGUCCCUCUAAUGCAGAUAACACUUUUUAUUCUGGGAAAUAGCUUCUAGCUUUCUCCUAGACUGUGGUAAGGGACUAGAUGCCUAACUAUGGUACAGCAGGUGACCACGGAGCCUGAGAUCCCCAUUCAGGAUUCCCCUGACACAGCUAGCCAUAAAUUUAACUUUGUGUAGCAGCAAUCUAUCAUUAGAUUGGAGUGGUAUGAAAGAGACCAUGCUUGGGCAAGUCUGGAAGAUAAGAGUUAGUUGUAUGGGUUAAUGACUCAGUCUCUUGCCUCAUUGCCUCCCCUUCUUCAAAUCAUGCCCAAUAUCUUUGUGGGGAGUUCCUUAUGGCCAGUAAGCUGAGGAAUACAAACUUGAGCUUGGCUUGCAGAUGGUGCUACAUGAUCUGUUAGAACCACCGCAAACGGAAGACCGCAACGUUACAACUGCAGGGGGAUGACCCUGAGGGACAGUGGUGAAGAAAAAUCUUUUCAGUGGGUAGAACCUUAAGCAGUAUAUUUGGUUGUCUGUUUAGGAGUUAGAUAUGGCCAGAAGUAUGAAUCUACACUGAUUUAUGAGCAAUUGUUGAUGGAUGAUUUGGCUGGAUGGUCAGGGACUUGGAAGGAAUGGGGCUGGAAGAAUGGCGACAAGGAGUUCUGGGGAAGAGGUAUGUGGAUGGACUCUUCGGAAUGGGCAUAGACUUGAAGAUUUAUGCCCCAUGUGAGUGCUCAUUCAAGGGAAUCUUGCACUGGCAGCUUUCAAUCAUCAGGUGAACAAUACGUCAUACUUUGCAGUUGUCAUUUACCCUGUUUAUCAGUUAUCCCUGUUCUUGUUUGAUGGUAUUGUGAAUAAAGGGUCCAUAGUGGCAGGGAUGGAGGAUAUACAUGGGAUCAAAAGUGUGAAUGUCUCCUUACUAAGGACUGCUUAGGAUGCUACCACUGCUGGGUGCUCAAUCUUUCAACAGGAAAGACCAAUAUGAGCCCAUGAUACGGCACCAUUCCCUAGACAGACUAGCCAUUUACCUGGUGGCAGGUUGAUUUCAUUGUGUCUCCUCCAUCAUGAAUGGGGUAGAGAUAAUUCCUUGUUAGCACAGGAGUUUUUUUUCUGGAUAUUGAUUUUUGGUUCACACCACGAUCUAAAAGUACUUACAGAAUGUCUCAUCCCCCACCAUUGCGUUCUACCCAGGAUUGCCUCUUCUCAAGGAAUUCAUUUCAUAACAAAGGAAGUGCAGCCAUAGGCUCAUGCCCAUGGAAUUAAUUGGUUUUGCGAUAUGACUCAUUGCCUGGAAGAGGAUGGCCUCAUUGAAAGGUGGAAUGGCAUAUUGAAGGCUUAGGUAUGGCACUAGUUGGCAGACAAGCCCUGAAAAGAGGCAAUAGAUGCUUUGAAUCAGACACCAUUGUGUGAUGCUGCCUCCUUCAUCAUUAGCCUAUAUGGACCCAUUAAUCAAGGUGUGGAAAUGGGAGGGUUCUGUGUCAGUCAAAGUCCAACCAGGAGACAGAAACCACAUUAAAUUAACUAAAGAGGAACAAAAAAGAACUCUAAAGAAUACCAUUAAGGAGUUCCCAUCAUGGUGCAUUGGAAACGAAUCUGACUAGGAACCACGAGGUUGCGGGUUCGAUCCCUGGCCUCACUCAAUGCGUUAAGGAUCCAGCAUUGCUGUGAGCUCUGGUGUAGGUCACAGAUGUGGCUCAGAUCCCGUGUUGCUGUGGCUCUGGUGUAGGCCAGUGGCUACAGCUCCGAUUAGACCCCUAGACUGGGAACCUCCAUAUGCC